AACGAACGCUGGCGGCAGGCCUAACACAUGCAAGUCGAGCGCUCCAGCAAUGGAGAGCGGCAGACGGGUGAGUAACGCGUGGGAACCUACCCAGUGGUACGGAAUAGCCCAGGGAAACUU
rnacentral:rRNA from 1 species